CUUAUUACAAGAGGGAUACCAUGGCUUUGUCUUUAAUAAACUCUGUCAUUAGAUUCUAAAUUGUCUAGAAGCUAUUGUAGUUUUUCUCCCAGGCAGAACUUUUAUUUUAUGGCUGCAGUAACUGUCUUUGUGAAGGUUGUUAGUGCUUGAACUUGUUCCUGCCAAUGUCAUGGGUUAAAAUUAGAAUCGAGCUGCCGUGACAUUUUGCUCUGUCAUUACUGGCAAGAAGGGUUUAAUGGCUUUAACAAAGCUAUCAGGAUUCAUGACGGAAUUCUUAUUGUACAGAAAUCUCUGGGCCAUGGAAAACCCUCUGUGGUUUCAAAUGUUUCUCCUGGAUGUCAAUUAAAAAUCCAGAAAUUGAAGGCAUUUUUCCAUCUCACAUGGGUUUCCUGUUUUGCUCACGACACUCCUGGAUAACCUAGCAAAAAAAUGAAAGCGGGGGCUGAAUUUGAAUGUGGAAGAGCUAUGACUGAAACUGCUGUUUCUGUUGGCUCAUUUAUGGCUAUUAAAGACCUGUGGGAAGUCAGAAUCCAGAAAAUCACCGAAGAGCUUCGGAAGCAAAAAGAAUUCAGUCAAAAGGCUGCAGGGAGACUGACAAUUAUUUGGGAAGAGAGGACGAGUUUGGCCAAGCUGAAAGGCAAAGUAAUCAACGAAGAUGGAAGGGCUGUUUUAAGGAUUGAGCAGGAGGAAUGGCAGACUCUACCGUCUUGCUUGCUGAAACUGAAUUACCUGCAGGAAUGGCAGCUUCACAGAAUUAAUUUGAUCAAAAUCCCUCACUACGUUGGUCGCUUUCAAAAUCUCAUGGUCCUAGAUCUAUCUCGAAAUUCUAUUGCAGAAAUUCCUAGGGAGAUUGGUCAAUUGUCAAAUCUUCAGGAGUUGAUCCUCAGUUAUAAUAAAAUUAAAUUGGUUCCUAAAGAAUUAGGCAACUGCGUUGGCUUAGAAAGACUGGAGCUGGCAGUAAAUAGAGACAUCUGUGACCUUCCCCAUCAGCUGAGCAACUUGAAGAAGCUUUCUCACCUAGAUCUGAGUAUGAACCGGUUCACUACUUUCCCACUAGUCCUUCUAGAUAUGCCUAACUUGGAGUGGCUAGAUAUGGCAAGCAACAGGCUGAAAGAAAUCCCUGGCAAUAUUGACAAAGCAGAAAACCUACAUACUUUGUGGCUCCAAAGGAAUGAAAUAACUUAUUUGCCUGAAUCUAUUUCUAACCUUAAAAAUAUGACCACCCUUGUUCUCACCAGCAACAAACUGCAAGAUAUUCCUGCAUGCCUAAAGGACAUGCUAAACCUAAGAUUUGUCAACUUCCGAGAUAACCCAUUAAAGCUGCAAGUGACACUUCCUCCUUGUGAGAAUCCCGAAGAGGAAGAGGAGCAAGAACUUUACGGAAUUCAGUUCAUGCAUUUAUAUAUCCAGGAAUUCCUCAACAGUGAAGGUACCACUUAUUUAUGUUUAAAAUAAAUACAGACUCAGCAAGGAGACUGCCAUAUUUUUCAAGAGCUGGGUUUUGCACGUUAACGUUAAACCAGUUUUUAAUGAGGGUUUGUUGGACAAGCAAUGGUAGCCUUCUGGAUGGAAAGCAGGAAGCCAAAAUAGGUAGCUUCAUAGUAAACAACAACCCAACAUUCUCUCUUUUAAAAAAACUCUGAAUCAGACAAAUGUGACCUACAAUAUUUUUUAAGAAUUGUUAAAGGCAAACUUGUGAUGCUAGAAUUUCCUUGACAUUGUGGCAUUUUAUAUUGUUUAAAGGUUGAGAUCCAAAAUAUUAAACAUACCCAAUCCUUGAACAUUAAAUUAUUCUGAUACGUCAACCAGAGUCCCAAUGCUGUUUGCUUUAGCACUAAAAUGCAUGAUCUUAAUGUUAUAUGAACUGUGCCGCAAUGGUCCAAUAAACAAACAUUUGAAACAUCCUGGUUUAUGUGAGAUUACAGAGUAAUCCUUUCCUGUUGUGCUACAAAACUAGAAAAAAAAACACCCUACCCUCUCCUCUUUAAGAGAGUUGCAGGGGCAGAGUGGGCACUGCAAGAAGAGCACAGGAAACGAGAGGAAAUUCCACUAGCACAGGGGUAAACGCCUUAAUUCUUUAUACUGGGGGAAAAAAUAACUUUUACAAAGUUGAUAGAUUUCUGAAAAACGCACAUUUUUUGGCACACAUACUUUUUUUCUUUCAGAAAACACGGAAAGUGAUAUUCCAGGUGCUGCUGACACCACGGACUGAAAAACAAAAACAACACCAAGCUGAUCCGGUAACUGUUACAAAUUUUUGGAGCCCAGAGAAACUGAAGCUGAAAUGCAGCCAGAUCUGUUGUGACAAAUAUUUUGAGCGGUCUACUUAUUAUUAGUACUUUUUUUUCUGA